GGGAUUAUGGUGUAGUGGUUUAGCACACAGAAGUGGCAUUAGACCGUCACGACUGAGGCUGAGGUUCGAUUCCUUGCGAUUCCA